AUUGAACGCUGGCGGCAGGCCUAACACAUGCAAGUCGAACGAGUGGCGGGCGUGUGAGUAAUGUCUGGGAAACUGCCUGAUGGAGGGGGAUAACUACUGGAAACGAUAGCUAAUACCGCAUACCAUCAGAUUUGCCCAGAUGGGAUUGGCUAGUUGGUUGGGUAACGGCUCACCACGGCGACGAUCCCUAGCUGGUCUGAGAGGGUGACCAGCGACACUGGAACUGAGACACGGUUCAGACUCCGCCGGGAGGGCGCAGUGGGGAAUAUUGCACAAUGGGAGCAAGCGUGAUGCAGCCAUGCCGAGUGGAUGAAGAAGGCCUUCGGGUUGUAAAGUACGUGCAGCGGGGAGGCGUUACCCGCAGAAGAAGCACGGGCUAACUCAUUGCCAGCAGCCGCGGUAAUAC
rnacentral:rRNA from 1 species